UCCUAUUUGUUUGCUGGAUUACAAAAGAACAAAUCCAGUACCUACGUCUGCUUCCUACUAGAACAUGAAAUGAACCAGCUCUGUGUUCCUUGCUGUCCAAGCAUCAGAAUGAAUUGGAACCAGGAGUGGGGCUGUUCCAGCAAACGCUGAUGAGAAAUGCCAGGCUUGUGAGCUGUUUGCUGUGAUGGGACAAUGUCUGAAGUGGUGGGAGUUCCUUCUAUGUCUGGGGCAUAUCUGCUGCUUUUGUGCAGAAGCUACACUCUUAAGAUGAUUAUACCAAUAUCCUAAA
rnacentral:lncRNA from 1 species